rnacentral:rRNA from 1 species
UACCAGACUCCUACGGGAGGCAGCAGUGAGGAAUAUUGGUCAAUGGCCGCAGGGCUGAACCAGCCAAGUCGCGUGAGGGAUGACGGUCCUAUGGAUUGUAAACCUCUUUUGUCAGGGAGCAAAGGGCGCCACGUGUGGCGUUUUGCGAGUACCUGAAGAAAAAGCAUCGGCUAACUCCGUGCCAGCAGCCGCGGUAAUACGGAGGAUGCGAGCGUUAUCCGGAUUUAUUGGGUUUAAAGGGUGCGUAGGCGGUUUUUUAAGUUAGUGGUUAAACGUCGGGGCUUCACCUUGAUUUGCCAUUAAUACUGUAAGACUCGAGUUCAGACGAGGUAGGCGGAAUAAGUUAAGUAGCGGUGAAAUGCUUAGAUAUAACUUAGAACUCCGAUAGCGAAGGCAGCUUACCAGACUGCGACUGACGCUGAAGCACGAGAGCGUGGGUAGCGAACAGGAUUAGAUACCCUAGUA